rnacentral:rRNA from 1 species
GACGAACGCUGGCGGCGUGCUUAACACAUGCAAGUCGAACGGAAAGGCCCCCACCUUGGUGGGGGUGCUCGAGUGGCGAACGGGUGAGUAACACGUGGGUGAUCUGCCCUGUACUUCGGGAUAAGCUUGGGAAACUGGGUCUAAUACCGGAUAGGACCAUGGUUUAGUGUCUCAUGGUGGAAAAAUUAUUGUUUUGGUGCAGGAUGAGCUCGCGGCCUAUCAGCUUGUUGGUGGGGUAAUGGCCUACCAAGGCGUCGACGGGUAGCCGGCCUGAGAGGGUGGACGGACACAUUGGGACUGAGAUACGGCCCAGACUCCGACGGGAGGCAGCAGUGGGGAAGAUUGCACAAUGGGCGCAAGCCUGAUGCAGCGACGCCGCGUGGGGGAUGACGGCCUUCGGGUUGUAAACUCCUUUCGUUAGGGACGAAGCCACACCUUUUUUGGGUGUGGUGACGGUACCUUUGUGAAGAAGCACCGGCUAACUACGUG